CUUAUCAGGCCGGCUGGCCCAAUGGCAAGGCGCUUGACUACGAAUCAAGAGAUUGCAGGUUCGAUCCCUGCGUCGGUCAUC
rnacentral:tRNA from 1 species